AUUGCAUCAACAUUGUACACCUACAAUGACAAUUAUUCAAGAUCACUGGUGCUAAAAGCUGUGAAGACAACCCUGAUGAAUCAUGCUGAAGCUUCAAAAGAACCACUUGUUAACAUGUUGUCAAAUAUUACAAGAGGACUUAAACAUGGUCAAAGUGUUCCAGGUUCACUCCUGCCACCAUUUAAAUGGUCGUGUCUCAUUAUCACACAUGGUUUCAACAAUGCUGAUGAACGCCAGGGAGUUCUCUGGAACAAGAUUGUCCAGUCUCAGUGUUCAUUAAUGU